rnacentral:rRNA from 1 species
GGUCAAGCGAAUAAGCGCACACGGUGGAUGCCUUGGCGGUCAGAGGCGAUGAAGGACGUGGCAGCCUGCGAAAAGUAUCGGGGAGCUGGCAACAAGCUUUGAUCCGGUAAUGUCCGAAUGGGGAAACCCACCCGCUUGCGGGUAUCCUGCAGUGAAUACAUAGCUGCUGGAAGCGAACCUGGUGAACUGAAAUAUCUAAGUAACCAGAGGAAAAGAAAUCAACCGAGAUUCCGUAAGUAGCGACGAGCGAACGCGGACUAGCCCUUAAGCUGGAUUGGUUCUAGGAAAACGCUCUGGAAAGAGCGGCCAUAGAAGGUGAUAGCCCUGUAUCUGAAAGGGCCAUUCCAGUGAAGACGAGUAGGGCGGGGCACGUGAAACCCUGUCUGAACAUGGGGGGACCAUCCUCCAAGGCUAAAUACUACUGACCGACCGAUAGUGAACCAGUACCGUGAGGGAAAGGCGAAAAGAACCCCGGAGAGGGGAGUGAAAUAGAACCUGAAACCGUGUGCGUACAAGCAGUAGGAGCUCCGCAAGGAGUGACUGCGUACCUUUUGUAUAAUGGGUCAGCGACUUACUGUUCGUGGCAAGCUUAACCGUAUAGGGGAGGCGAAGGGAAACCGAGUCUGAUAAGGGCGCAUAGUCGCGGGCAGUAGACCCGAAACCGGGUGAUCUAGUCAUGCCCAGGGUGAAGGUGCGGUAACACGCACUGGAGGCCCGAACCCACUCCCGUUGCAAAGGUAGGGGAUGAGGUGUGAUUAGGAGUGAAAAGCUAAUCGAACCCGGAGAUAGCUGGUUCUCCUCGAAAGCUAUUUAGGUAGCGCCUCAUAUGUAUCCUCUCGGGGGUAGAGCACUGUUAUGGCUAGGGGGUCAUCGCGACUUACCAAACCAUUGCAAACUCCGAAUACCGAGACGGACUGUAUGGGAGACACACGGCGGGUGCUAACGUCCGUCGUGAAAAGGGAAACAACCCAGACCCACAGCUAAGGUCCCAAAUUCACUGCUAAGUGGAAAACCAUGUGGAAAGGCACAGACAGCCAGGAGGUUGGCUUAGAAGCAGCCACCCUUUAAAGAAAGCGUAAUAGCUCACUGGUCGAGUCGGUCUGCGGGGAAGAUUUAACGGGGCUAAGCAGUGAACCGAAGCUUGGGGUGCAUACUUUGUAUGCGCGGUAGAGGAGCGUUCCGUAAGCCGUUGAAGGUGGAUUGAGAAGUCUGCUGGAGGUAUCGGAAGUGCGAAUGCUGACAUGAGUAACGAUAAUGCGGGUGAAAAACCCGCACGCCGAAAGCCCAAGGUUUCCUUGCGCAACGUUAAUCGGCGCAGGGUGAGUCGGCCCCUAAGGCGAGGACGAAAGUCGUAGUCGAUGGGAAGCAGGUUAAUAUUCCUGCACCUCGCGUAAGUGCGAUGGAGGGACGGAGAAGGUUAGGUGUACCAGGCGUUGGUUGUCCUGGGGAAAGGCGGUAGGUUUGGAUCUUUGGCAAAUCCGGGAUCCUUUAAGACCGAGCACCGAGACGAGCCUUUAAGGCGAAGUCACUGAUACCACGCUUCCAGGAAAAGCUCCUAAGCUUCAGCUUACGCAGACCGUACCGUAAACCGACACAGGUGGGUAGGAUGAGAAUUCUCAGGCGCUUGAGAGAACUCGGGUGAAGGAACUAGGCAACAUGGCACCGUAACUUCGGGAGAAGGUGCACCCUUUUUGGUGGCUCGUGCGAGCUAUAGCUGAAGAGGGUCGCAGUAACCAGGCCGCUGCGACUGUUUAUCAAAAACACAGCACUCUGCAAACACGAAAGUGGACGUAUAGUGUGUGACGCCUGCCCGGUGCUGGAAGGUUAAUUGAUGGGGUCAGCCGCAAGGCGAAGCUCUUGAUCGAAGCCCCAGUAAACGGCGGCCGUAACUAUAACGGUCCUAAGGUAGCGAAAUUCCUUGUCGGGUAAGUUCCGACCUGCACGAAUGGCGUAACGACAGCGGCGCUGUCUCCACCCGAGACUCAGUGAAAUUGAAAUCGCUGUGAAGAUGCAGCGUUCCCGUGGCAAGACGGCAAGACCCCGUGAACCUUUACUAUAGCUUUACACUGAACGUUGAGUUCGUCUGUGUAGGAUAGGUGGGAGGCUAUGAAACUGUGGCGCUAGCUGCAGCGGAGCCAUCCUUGAAAUACCACCCUGUCGUGCUUGACGUUCUAACCUGGGCCCAUUAUCUGGGUCGGGGACCGUGUAUGGUGGGUAGUUUGACUGGGGCGGUCUCCUCCUAAAGAGUAACGGAGGAGCUCGAAGGUACGCUCAGCGCGGUCGGACAUCGCGCACUGUGUGCAAAGGCAUAAGCGUGCUUGACUGCAAGAUCGACGGAUCAAGCAGGUAGGAAACUAGGACUUAGUGAUCCGGUGGUUCUGUAUGGAAGGGCCAUCGCUCAACGGAUAAAAGGUACUCCGGGGAUAACAGGCUGAUACCGCCCAAGAGUUCAUAUCGACGGCGGUGUUUGGCACCUCGAUGUCGGCUCAUCACAUCCUGGGGCUGUAGUCGGUCCCAAGGGUAUGGCUGUUCGCCAUUUAAAGUGGUACGCGAGCUGGGUUCAGAACGUCGUGAGACAGUUCGGUCCCUAUCUGCCAUGGGCGUUGGAGAUUUGAGAGGGGCUGCUCCUAGUACGAGAGGACCGGAGUGGACGAACCUCUGGUGUUCCGGUUGUCACGCCAGUGGCAUUGCCGGGUAGCUAUGUUCGGAAGCGAUAACCGCUGAAAGCAUCUAAGCGGGAAGCGCGCCUCAAGAUGAGAUCUCCCGGGGCACAAGCCCCCUGAAGGAACCAUGUAGACUACGUGGUUGAUAGGUCAGGUGUGUAAGUACAGCAAUGUAUUGAGCUAACUGAUACUAAUGAUCCGUGCGGCUUGACCAU